CGUUGGGUGAUCCGGAACCACGAGAGGGUCAUUGGGAUUGCUGAGGCUCUGCUUCGGAGCUUGCUUAGGGUUUUCUCGAAAUCGUGAAGCAGCCACUUUGAUGAUUUGCAACAAAAUCAUGACGAUUCACAGCUUCGGAAUAGAUUGUUGCUGUAAGAGGAACAGGGCUGAUAAAGAUCUUAUGCAUGGCCGCAUCUUUGAUGUCAACCACUCUAUAUUAACAGCUUAUGUAAAACAAUAUUGAGGUUGGUGUCACACUACCAGUUCUGUUUGGCGAUUGGUUCAUUACUCAGGGUAUGUGAGCUUCAUGAAAGUAGAUUAUGCACACAUCCUAUCCUCCUAUGUUUAUUACUAGUUAGAUAUACUUGGCAUGCUUCUAGUUGUGGGUGAUUUCUUGAAAUUAUUCAAGCAUCUUGUUUCUUUACUAGGUGUUUACUUCCCCUGUUGGAUAUUUUCACAUGGAGGAGCAGAGAUGCGUAACUUUGCUAAUUAAAGGAUGUAAUUUUUCACUUUGGAAUACUCUUUGGAGUUUGAUAAUGGACUACGUUGCGAGCAUGUACAGGAUCGCGGUUGUAAAUGUGUAAACAAAACGAAUGGGGGAAAAGAAAGGGUGUCGUAGCUGGGGGAUCUUUGAAUAGGAAGGAAAGUGAUCCAUCUGUUAUGGCUGGCUCUCCUUGGGCGAAGUAGAGUUUGUACUUAUUGUGGGAACACUAGAAAGUUUUUUAUUUGGGGCCUUGGGAAAAUAUCCCCGGCCAGUGCAAAUGAAAAUUUCGUCUCUCCUUUUAAGUUUUUGUUGUGUGUGUACUGUAAUCCUUUACUCCUAGAAGCAGAAGCUAUAUAUGCAGUAAAAGUCUCACAGUGUGAAACACAGCCAUGUUGUAUGGAUAGUGAAUGCUUUCUUUGUAUUAUAAGUUUAUAUCAGAGAGAGAGAGAGAGAGAGAGAGAGAGAGAGAGAGAUGUAUGUUUGGUAUCAAGCACAAGUUUUUGUGCUCGGUAGUGAGAUGACAUAUUUCCCUCCACUCAUUAAAAUCGGAGUCCAUAUUCACACGGGUUGGGGAGUUGUUGGGAAUUGGAAUGAGUAGAUGAGAAUAUGACACCUCACUACCAAGUACAAAAUUUGUGCUUGUUACCAAGCAUAUCUAUUUUUCUCUCUAUAUAUAUAUAUACAAUGUACAUAUCAUCCAAUAUGAUGCCCCUAUAUUUAUUAAAUAUCUGUGACAUAUCCCCGGCAUGCACCAUCCGAUAUGAAAAUUUUCUGUUCCAUUUUGUCUCUGGCAGCCGAUAUUUAGAACAUUGCUUAGUAUCAGUACAUUUUAGUUCACAGGCCCCUGCGACCCAACGGGUAUAACAUUGUAUACUGCUCUAUUAAUCUUACUAGUUUGAAAGAACAGGGUCCUGAGCAAAAAAGUAGUCUUUGGUCUCCAUAACUCGCAGCUGCGGAUAGAGAUCUGUUGGGGGGUGAAAUUGCACCGAUCAUCUUCAUCUCUACUUAAAAGCAUCACCUUCUUCUAAACCUUCAUAUGUCAUUUUCCCACCAUAAAUAAUUUUAACGAUAGGUGCGGACUUUUGAUAGAGCAAUGGUACCAAUUAGUUCUUGUGUGUGGGUUCUAGCGGUGAGCAGUUACAAGAUCAUGUGAAGGGUACAGCGUGUAAUUAAUAGCUU